UAACAGUGAGAAAUCAUUGCUAAUACCGCAUAUGCCAUGAACAUCACAUGAUGAAAGUGGGAAAAGAGUAAUCUGCUAGUAGAUGGGCUCGCGUCUGAUUAGAUAGUUGGUGGGGUAACGGCCCACCAAGUCGACGAUCAGUAGCCGGACUGAGAGGUUGAACGGCCACAUUGGGACUGAGAUACGGCCCAGACUCCUACGGGAGGCAGCAGUCGGGAAUAUUGCGCAAUGGAGGAAACUCUGACGCAGUGACGCCGCGUAUAGGAAGAAGGUUUUCGGAUUGUAAACUAUUGUCGUUAGGGAAGAUACAAGACAGUACCUAAGGAGGAAGCUCCGGCUAACUACGUGCCAGCAGCCGCGGUAAUACGUAGGGAGCAAGCGUUAUCCGGAUUUAUUGGGUGUAAAGGGUGCGUAGACGGGAAAGCAAGUUAGUUGUGAAAUCCCUCGGCUUAACUGAGGAACUGCAACUAAAACUGUUUUUCUUGAGUGUUGGAGAGGAAAGUGGAAUUCCUAGUGUAGCGGUGAAAUGCGUAGAUAUUAGGAGGAACACCGGUGGCGAAGGCGACUUUCUGGACAAUAACUGACGUUGAGGCACGAAAGUGUGGGGAGCAAACAGGAUUAGAUACCCUGGUAGUCCACACCGU
rnacentral:rRNA from 1 species